rnacentral:rRNA from 1 species
AUUGAACGCUGGCGGCAGGCUUAACACAUGCAAGUCGAGCGAGCGGCGGACGGGUGAGUAAUGUCUGGGAAACUGCCUGAUGGAGGGGGAUAACUACUGGAAACGGUAGCUAAUACCGCAUACCAUCAGAUGUGCCCAGAUGGGAUUAGCUAGUUGGUGGGGUAAUGGCUCACCUAGGCGACGAUCCCUAGCUGGUCUGAGAGGAUGACCAGCCAACCUGGAACUGAGACACGGUCCAGACUCCUACGGGAGGCAGCAGUGGGGAAUAUUGCACAAUGGGCGCAAGCCGGAUGCAGCCAUGCCGCGUGUAGGAAGAAGGCCUUCGGGUUGUAAAGUAUUUUAAGCGAGGAGGCGUUACUCGCAGAAGAAGCACCGGCUAACUCCGUGCCAGCAGCCGCGGUAAUAC